rnacentral:tRNA from 1 species
UGGCUCAGUUGGUAGAGCAUGGUGUUUGCAAUGCCAGGGUUGUGUGUUCAAUUCCCAC